UGACGGUAACAGGAUGCUNUUGCUGACGAGUGGCGGACGGGUGAGUAAUGUCUGGGAAACUGCCUGAUGGAGUGGGGAUAACUACUGGAAACGGUAGCUAAUACCGCAUAACGUCGCAAGACCAAAGAGGGGGACCUUCGGGCCUCUUGCCAUCGGGUGUGCCCAGAUGGGAUUAGCUAGUAUGUGGGGUAACGGCUCACCUAGGCGACGAUCCCUAGCUGGUCUGAGAGUGAUGACCAGCCACACUGGAACUGAGACACUGGUCCAGACUCCUACGGGAGGCAGCAGUGGGGAAUAUUUGCACAAUGGGCGCAAGCCUGAUGCAGCCAUGCCUGCGUGUAUGAAGAAGGCCUAUCGGGUUGUAAAUGUACUUUCAGCGUGGGCAGGAAGGUUGUUGAGGUUAAUAACCUCAGCAAUUGACGUUACCCGCAGAAGAAGCACCGGGCUAACUCCGUGCCAGG
rnacentral:rRNA from 1 species